UCAGUGUGAGAGGUGAUGUGAAAUCAUACGAUAUAUCUAUGUCACAUGAGCUCACUUUUAUGUGAAAGUUUAUCUGCCUAUUGUAUAUGAUGAGAUGUGCAUAUUCGGUAAAGGGAUGGUAUGCCCGAAGGAAGAGUGAAAUAAAAAUACGAACAACUAUGUUAUAAUUUGAUUGUUAUCUGUUGACACUGCUUAAAACUUACUAAGCAUUGUAAUGCUUACUCCGUUUACUCUGUUUUCUCUGUUUUAUAGAUCUCAUUGCGAAGCUACAGGCUCGGGGAUCGUCAGCAACUAGUCACACUAUCACUAUCCACUGUUUGGUACUGCUAUGUUUUGGAUUAUCUUAUGGCA
rnacentral:lncRNA from 1 species